AGCCAAUCAGAAGUCAGGGCUGGCGGGGCUCGGAGGAAGGACGGGCCGACGUGGCCGCUUCUUAGGCUCGGCUUCCGGGCAGUAGAGUGGGUCUGUUGGAGAGCCGGAUUCACCCCACGACCUUGGGUCGUUGCCGGUGUGCCCAGGUGGAGGAAAAUAGAAGAGAGUCCCGGUUUCCCUGGCGGGGAUGCCCCCGAGAGCAGAGAAGCUCCCGGCGUGACUGGAGCCGAGAGUCCGGUGCCUCGGGCUCCUCCCAGGCCUUGCUUCAACUCAGAGUCGCUGCGAGCGUGAUGGGCGAGUCACCCACCUCUCUGGGACUCACCUGUAACUCGGUAGGGCUCGCCUGAGACUCCAGAAUCGCGUGGCAGCUGAGAAGCCAUCUGGUCCAACCCUCCCGACACCUGCAUGGAGACGCUGGCUGAGGGAAGGACUGAUGGUAAUAUAGUCAAAAGGAUAUAAUGAUGGGUCUGCAGUCUGGAGAGCUGACUUCUUAUUAUAACUUGACACAAUGUCGAGUGGAGAUGAUCAGCAAUCACAAGCUCUUGCCAAACCCACUUUCAGUGAGGUACAAGCCUCUGCCUUAGUGGAAUCAAUAUUUGGGUUAAAAGUUUCCAAGAUACAGCCACUUCCUAGCUAUGAUGACCAAAACUUUCAUGUGUACAUUUCAAGAACUGAAGGCACUACAAGUGGCCCAACUGAAUAUAUUCUCAAAAUAAGCAACACUGAGGCUAGCAAAACUCCAGAUCUGAUUGAACUGCAGAGUCACAUCAUAACGUUUCUGAGAGCGGCUGGAUUUCCAACAGCUGCUGUGUGUCGUACUAAAGGAGACAACAUAACCUCUCUUGUGUCCAUAGAUAAUGGCUCCGAAAUCAAAAGCUACGUGGUGAGGCUGAUGACUUACCUCCCAGGAAGACCCAUAGCCGAGAUUUCUGUCAGUCCUCAACUAUUAUAUGAAAUUGGAAGGCUAGCUGCCAAAUUGGAUAAAACACUGGAGAAAUUCCAUCAUCCAAAGUUAAGUUGUCUUCACCGGGAGAACUUCAUCUGGAAUCUGAAAAGUGUUCCUCUUCUGGAGAAAUACAUGUAUGCCUUGGGCCAGAAUCGAUCUCGAGAGAUUGUCGAGCAGGUCAUUCAGCUGUUCAAGGAUGAAGUAAUGACCAAAUUAAGUCAUUUUCGAGAAUGAUAUUUGGGUUGUUUUCUAUUGUUUGGCUGUUAAGAACAAUCCUGCUAUGAACAUUCCUGUAAGUGCUUCUUGGAGUUCUAAAUAUAUUCUGUAUACGAGUCCUUUCUGGUUAUAUGUGUAUACAGGUAUUUGUUCCAUCCUGUGGCUUGUCUUUUCACCCUCUUUGUAGUGUCUUUUGAUGAACAGUCCUUAACUUUAUUCAUUUCAAAUAAAUCAGUCUUUUUCUGUAUGGUUAGUGUUUUAUGCCUUAUAAUUCUAUUUUUUCUCUACCCUAUGGUCAUGAAAAUAUUUUCCUGUGUUAUCUUCCUGAACUUUAAUAGUUUUGCUUUUCAUACUAGGCCUAUAAUCCAUCAGAAAUUUAUUUUUAUAUAUGGUGUGAAGUAUGGGUCCAAUUUCAUUUUUUCUCUUGGCUAUAAAUUUUCCUACCACCAUUUAUUGAAAAGACUAUCUUUUCCCACUCUGUUUUGAAGUAUUAUCUCUGUUGUAAAUGAAAUAUGUUUCUGGACUCUCCAUUCUUUCUGUUGGUCUAUUUGUCUAUCUUUGCACCCAUACCACAUUGUGAUUCUUUAGAAUUUUCUAUGUACACAAUCAGUCCAUCUAUAAAUAAUGACAGUUUUAUAAAGGAAGAAAUAAUCCUUUUUUUUCCUUGCUUUACUACACUGAGUCUCCUUGUCUUUUCUCCACAUUAAAGGGAAAACUUACAUUGUGUAACUAUUAAGUGUAAUGAUUACUAUAGGUUUUCUGGUGAUACUCUCUAAGGAUUAAGAAGGUUCCCUUCUAUUCCUGGUUUGCUAAGAAUUUAUAUAAUAAAUAAAUAAAUGUUUGAUUUUAUUAGGCAUUUUUUUCUGUAUCAAUUGAGAUCAUCCUAUUAUUUUUUUCCCUGAAGUCUGUUAAUGUGGUGAAUUACAUUGAUUAUUUCUAAUAUUGAAUCAACAUUGCAUUCCUGAUAUUGGUCCCGAUGUUGUUUUCCUUUUUAAUAUAUUGUUUUAUUGAGUUUGCUAAUAUUUUCUUUAUGAUUUUUGCAUUUAAGUUCAUGAGUAUAAUUAACCUACUCUCCCUCUUUCUCAUAUUGACUUUGUCAGGUUUUAUGUUAGCCUUAUAAAAUGAGUCUGGGAGUGUACUCUUUUUUUCUAUCCUCUUAGAGAUUGUAAGUUUGAAAUUUUUUCUGUUAUAAUGUUUGGGAGUAAUUUUUCUGGUAAAGUCAUCUGGAUUUUCCUUAAAAGGAAGUUUUUAAAUUAAUGGUUCAAUUUCUUUAAUAUUUUUAGGACUAUUUAGAUUUUGUUUCUUCCAUUGUCAGUUUUAGUAGGUUGAACUUAUCUAAAAUUUGUCCAUUUCAUCUAUAUUUUCAUAUUUAUUGCCAUAAAUUUAUUUAUAUACAUUUUUGUUAUUUUUAAUGUCUAUUUGAUUUUUAAUGAUGCUUCUCUUUUUAUUCUUGAUAAUGUUUAUUAGUUCCUUUUUUCUUGAUUGUUCUCACCAGAGAUUUAUCAACUUUUAGCCUUUCCAAAAACCCAAGUUUUGGCUCUGUUGAUCCUCUCUUUUGUGGUUUUUAAUUUUUAUUAAUUUCUUCUCUCAUAUCUCUUUUUGUUUUCCUUGGGCUUUAUUUUGCUAAUUUUUUAACUUCUUGAAAUGAAUGCCUAGCUCAUUAAUCUUUCUUUCUUUCUUAUUUUUGAACUCAGACACAUAAUUAAUUACAUAUAAGCCUUGGUUCAUGACACGCUUUAAUCCUUAUUCCCUAUAUGGAAAACCUUACCAUUUUUCUAAUAUUUGUACUUGAAGUUACAAAUUUAGCUCUAAGUAUUGAUUUAGCUAUGUCCCAUAAUGAGUAUUUUCAGGGAAGUAGAGGGGUCUCGCUUAAGAGUUUAUAAAAAAACACAAAACAAAACUCCAUUCUAUUUUGAAUCCUUUAUAAUUUACUGAAGAAUAUGUAAGUUAUUGGAAAUAUUUUGUAAAUUAAGAGAAAAUAUUAUAUUAUUCUUUUUUUAUAGCUUUAUUGAGAUAUAAUUCACAUGCCAUACAAUUCAAC